rnacentral:rRNA from 1 species
UACAGAGGGUGCAAGCGUUGUUCGGAAUUAUUGGGCGUAAAGCGCGUGUAGGCGGCUUUGCAAGUCGGGUGUGAAAUCCCUCAGCUUAACUGAGGAAGUGCGCCCGAAACUGCCGAGCCUUGAGUGCCGGAGAGGAUGGCGGAAUUCCCAGUGUAGAGGUGAAAUCGUAGAUAUUGGGAAGAACACCGGUGGCGAAGGCGGCUAUCUGGCCCCGUAAUUGACGCUGAGGCGCGAAAGCGUG